UUCUCUUCAUUUGUGUUGCAAACAAAAGUUUUUUGAUAGCAGGUUGAAGAAAGGGUGAACAAAGUUUGGCUUCCAAGAUCAAAUAGGAGGAGUUGAAGACUGAUUUUUGAAGCUUCAACAAGUGUUGCAACAUCAUUUCCAUACAUUUGCAAGCUCCCAUUGGCUACAAGAGGAACUAGAAUGGCAUCUACCUCUUCCUUCGUUGGCAAUGAACAAACAAUUACAAAACAAAUAAAUGAUCCGAAUUCUCCCUUAUGGAAGUAUGUUGACAAUUUAAACCCACUUCCAGGAGGUGGGGGAUUCCGUUGGAGAUGCCAAGGAUAUGUUAUUGAACGUAAUAGUUCAUAUUAUCGGGUUGUAGGCCAUUUGUGUGGAAUAAAAGGAAGAGGCGUCAAAAAAUGCCCUGGAAAAGAUGGUAAACCUAUACCAGAUGAGACAGUGAUGAAAUAUUUUAAGGAGCAUGAGGAGGCAGGAGAGAGAGAAGCCCGUAGAUUGAAUCAAACGCAGCAAAGAAAACAAGGGGAAUGCAAGCCCCAUCUAAUCCCGAUGUUGUAGUAUAAGACCACCCCUUCUUUUCCACAAAUGAACCUGAAAAUGAACCACCCUUGACAUGCAAAAGAACAAAGGGGCCUUUAGAAACUGCAUUUCAAAAUGAGAGUAGAGACAUUGCUGACCAAGAUAUAGAAAGGUGCAUUUGUGCAAAUGGGUUGGCUUUCAAUGUUGUUCGCUCCCCAUAUUGGAAGCAAAUGAUAAAAAGUGUUAAUGAAGCUCCAAGAGGGUAUAAGGGCCCAGGUUAUGAGAAGGUACGUGGAACAUUAUUAGACAAAGAGGUGAAGAGGGUUGAAGAUGCAUUGAAACCCAUAAGGGAUUCAUGGGCUGAGACAGGUGUAACAAUUGUUUCAGAUAGGUGGAAAGAUGCUAAAAAUCGUCCCUUGAUCAAUGUCAUAGCGGUGUCCCCUAAAGGGGCAAUGUUUUUGAAAGCUGUGGAUUGUGAGGGCCAAGUAAAAGAUGGCCAAUUUAUUGCAGAAAUUCUCAUCUCCGCCAUUGAGUCAGUGGGACCCCGCAAUGUUGUCCAAGUCAUAACGGACAAUGUAAGAAAUUGUAGAGCUGCUGGUUUGUUGGUUGAGGAACGCUAUGAUCACAUCUUUUGGACACCUUGUGCGGUCCAUUCACUCAAUCUUAUGCUACAAAGAAUUGAGACUAAAAUAAAAUGGAUCAAAGAUGUGUAUGCAGAGGCUGAGGACAUCCAGAUGUUCAUCACAAACCACCACGUCUCAAGGGAUUUUUAGAUCCUUUUCGAAUUUGGAGCUAUUGAAGGUUGCCGAGACCCGUUUUGCAUCAAACACAAUCGUCUUAAGACGACUUGUGAAAGUUAGAGUGGCACUAUGCAACAUGGUGAUCAACAACAAUUGGACUGUAUGGAAGCAGAGUAGCAGUGAGAGGGUAGAAAAAAUUAGAGAGAGAAUAUUGAAUGAGAAAUGAUGGGAACUUGUUACAUAUCUCCUAAGUAUCAUUGAGCCCAUUAUGAGUAUCAUUGACUCAAUGCUUGAAAAAAUAAAGUUCACUAUAAAUGCAAAAGAGAAUGACCCCGAGGAGAAAUUCUUCAAAGAAGUGAAAGCAAUUAUUUUAGAGAGGUGGAAUAAGAUGACCAUUCCUUUGCAUCUUCUUGCCUAUGCCUUGACACCAAAGUACUAUAGCAAUCAGUUUCUUGCUAAAUUAGGAAGGAUUCCACCAUGGAGAGAUCUAGAAGUAUCUGAUGGGUACAAGGCAACAUUUCUUAGACUAUAUCCUGAUGAUGAUUUGUGAGAUAAUGUUACAACCGAGUUCAUAGAAUUUGCAAAUGGGAAUGGUCUAAGUGUUGAGGCACUUAGUCAUAGAUCCAAGAAGGAUGCUCAUAGCUGGUGGUACUUCCAUGGUGCAUGCUUCCAACACCUACAACCCCUCGCUGUAAACGUUUUAUCACAAGUUGCUUGUUCAUCUACUUCAGAUAGAAAUUGGAGCACAUACUCUUUCCUUCUUUCAUCCACUUAGCUAAGCGCAAUAGGUUGCUAUCAAAAAGAGCGGAGAAUUUAGUAUAUGUGCAUUCCAACCUACGUCUUCUUUCACACAAACAACGUGACUACACAUAAGGGGAAACGAAGAUGUGGGAUAUAGAGCCAGAGCAUACUGAUUUGGAUGCUCCUGCUUCUCAGCUUCUUGCAUUGACACUUGAUGACUUGGAGGGCGAGCAAACUUAUAGUGCAAGUGCAAGUGGCGUUGGCUCAUCUAAUGCCAAUGUCAAUGAUAAGGAGGAUGAGGAGGAGGAGUAGGAGGAUAA